rnacentral:sRNA from 1 species
UCGCCGGACUUCCGCCUUCCCCUGGGGAUGG